rnacentral:rRNA from 1 species
GUAGGUGGGCAAGCGUUGUCCGGAAUUAUUGGGCGUAAAGCGCGCGCAGGCGGUCCUUUAAGUCUGAUGUGAAAGCCCACGGCUCAACCGUGGAGGGUCAUUGGAAACUGGGGGACUUGAGUACAGAAGAGGAAAGCGGAAUUCCAAGUGUAGCGGUGAAAUGCGUAGAGAUUUGGAGGAACACCAGUGGCGAAGGCGGCUUUCUGGUCUGUAACUGACGCCGAGGCGCGAAAGCGUGGGGAGCAAACAGGAUUAGAUACCCUGGUAGUCCACGCCGUAAACGAUGAGUGCUAAGUGUUAGGGGGUUUCCGCCCCUUAGUGCUGCAGCUAACGCAUUAAGCACUCCGCCUGGGGAGUACGGCCGCAAGGCUG